rnacentral:rRNA from 1 species
GAUGAACGCUGGCGGCGUGCCUAAUACAUGCAAGUCGAGCGAACGGACGAGAAGCUUGCUUCUCUGAUGUUAGCGGCGGACGGGUGAGUAACACGUGGAUAACCUACCUAUAAGACUGGGAUAACUUCGGGAAACCGGAGCUAAUACCGGAUGAUAUUUUGAACCGCAUGGUUCAAAAGUGAAAGACGGUCUUGCUGUCACUUAUAGAUGGAUCCGCGCUGCAUUAGCUAGUUGGCAAGGUAACGGCUUACCAAGGCAACGAUGCAUAGCCGACCUGAGAGGGUGAUCGGCCACACUGGAACUGAGACACGGUCCAGACUCCUACGGGAGGCAGCAGUAGGGAAUCUUCCGCAAUGGGCGAAAGCCUGACGGAGCAACGCCGCGUGAGUGAUGAAGGUCUUCGGAUCGUAAAACUCUGUUAUUAGGGAAGAACAUAUGUGUAAGUAACUGUGCACAUCUUGACGGUACCGAAUCAGAAAGCCACGGCUAACUACGU